rnacentral:rRNA from 1 species
GACGAACGCUGGCGGCGUGCCUAAUACAUGCAAGUCGAGCGGACGAAUCGAAAGCUUGCUUUUGAUUCGUUAGCGGCGGACGGGUGAGUAACACGUGGGCAACCUGCCCUGUAGACGGGGAUAACACCGAGAAAUCGGUGCUAAUACCGGAUAACACGAAAUGUCGCAUGACGUUUCGUUGAAAGACGGCGCAAGCUGCCGCUACAGGAUGGGCCCGCGGCGCAUUAGCUAGUUGGUGAGGUAACGGCUCACCAAGGCGACGAUACGUAGCCGACCUGAGAGGGUGAUCGGCCACACUGGGACUGAGACACGGCCCAGACUCCUACGGGAGGCAGCAGUAGGGAAUCUUCCGCGAUGGACGAAAGUCUGACGGAGCAACGCCGCGUGAGCGAAGAAGGCCUUCGGGUCGUAAAGCUCUGUUGUUAGGGAAGAACAAGUAACGCAGUAACUGGCGUUACCGUGACGGUACCUAACGAGAAAGCCACGGCUAACUACGUG